rnacentral:lncRNA from 1 species
GGCUUUCAAAACUGCUUAGUAAUCUAGGGGAAAACCUCAGUCCUUACCAACAAGAUGGUUCACUGGGUUCAAAAGAACGUGCCACACACCCGGAGGCGUGCCUUGCUUUGCAACCCUUUGCAUGCUGGCUGCAGGGUCCGUCCUUUGCUGGCGAUCAGUGGGAAGUAUGGUUGCCAGACUAUGAGCUGAAAGACAUAGUAGCCCUAUUUUUGGAUCGCCAGGGAAAAAAUCAAAUUGUUUGUACUUAAGAAAAGUCCUCAGGUGGAGCAUUGUGUAUUUGGUAGAAAGACUGGAAACUCCAAAUACACAGAAAUAGAAAUUUCAAGGGAUAAAAACAAACAUUAUAGUUCAUGCAUUUAUAAACAGGUUUUAAAAUAAUUAUAAGCCACCAAUUUGAUGACACUCUCAAGACUUCGUGAGAGUGACUUUUGAGAAGUUACAUCUCAUCCAGUUUAGGUGAAUUCAGGUCACCUACUCUUGACAUGAGUAGAGAUUUGCCUUUGUGACUUGUGAGGAGAGACCUUUUCUCACCGAUGGUAUUGAAAAGAGAACUCCAAGCGAGGUUUGGGAAGAGGAAUUUGAUUCAGGUGCCAGAUAUACUUUACAGAUCACUGUGGUUAUCUUACAUUAAAACAAGCAAAUGUGCAUCUUCAGGUAUUAUCUUAUUUCUUUCACUCACAGACAUUUGCUGCACUGUUCUCCCCACCUCACGCAGCAGAACACUUGGGUAUGAAGUAACUAUCACUGUACUUUCGGUGAGCAAGCACCCUCAGCAUUAAAAAAAAUUACAUGACAAGAAAAAAUAUGUAUGUUUCAAGGCGACUAUAAAUAUUUUUCUUUUUUUCUUUUCUUUUUUUUUUAGUAUAAUUUUUUUUUUUAAUUGAUCAUUCUUGGGUGUUUCUCGCAGAGGGGGACUUGGCAGGGUCAUAGGACAACAGUGGAGG